CGAAGCAACCCAGAGAAGGGAGACUAGGACAAUCCAAAGACUGUUGUAAAGUAUGGUUGGGCACCAUUGCCUCCAAAUGGCUUUCCUUGUCUUGUUAUUUGCCUGCAUUCACGGAUCCCCUCUUAAAGUGAUAGACUUGCUGUCCCAAGGUGAGGUGGACAAUCGGUGCUUUGAUGUGUCAUCCCUUGCUCUUGUUGAAACAAGGCACAUAAAUGCGGUUGAAAGUGUGCAUGACCUCUGGAAGUUCCUGAUAUACCUGAGGGAGUCUAAGAUACGCAAACACAGAUUCCUCUUCUGGGAUUUAGCUCAGCUGUUCUGGGAUGUUUAUGUGGAUUGCGUGUUGGCAAGAACUCAUGGUCUAGGCAAAUGAGAAAUAACUUCUGACGGGAGCUUCACAGUUCAAAGCAACAAUAUUUGUGAUGCUGAAGAAUUCCUCUGAAAAUACAGAAGCCCAGUCAUUCCAGGACCAACUUUUGUACUCAAGUUGUCUCAUAAUUUCAGUUUUAUAAUUGCAUGUGACUCUUUCUUGUAUUUGUCUCAACCUGAAAAUACUGAAUUCCAGAAUAAUGGUUUGCAUAAAACAGGAAGUGUAAUAUCCACUGUUUUAUAUAAAGGAACAUAUUUUUGCUAUAAGAUUAUUUCAUGUGUAAAACAAAAACAGCCAGACCACUCCAAAAAUCUACACUCCACUUUUAAUUUUACCUUUAAUUGUUCCUGAUCUUUGGUGUAGUUUCCAAAUAUGUGUGUGCUGUAUAAUUAGAACAAAUGUACCUCAUUAGGUAUACCUGUGUAUUGACUAUUAAAAUAUAUUGAUACUUAGAAUUGAUAAAUGAAUGCUUACAUUUUGGAUUAAAAUUGGAACUAUUAAUAUUGAUAAAUGAAUGCUUACAUUUUGGAUUAAAAUUGGAACUAUUAAUAAUCUUCUCUAUUUGGAAAACUAUUCUGGUUCAAUAUACCAUACAAUACAAAGCAAGCUCCAUUCAGGAGGUCACAUUUGAGCCUGUUGUGGGAAAUAGAACCAUACUAUACACAUGUAUUUUAAAUGAUGGUUUAAGCAGUUGAUUCCCCUAAACAAAAAUACAAGUCUGUGUCUUUUCCCUAUUCCAAAAGAAAUAAUUCAGCAGGAUUUCAGGAUCUUUCUAACCUCCUGAUAUUGUAUCUAACAUUCAUUAUACAUCUCGGACAGUUAUUUUGUUUGGAAUAACAUAUUUCAUGUACCUAGCAACUUAUAAAUCAUAAUUUUUAUGUACGUUU